GCCAGAUUGGUGUCUUGACUGGCCCAAUCUGCAUAAAGGCCAGAGCGAUGGAACAGAAGCAGAGAUCCCCAGGGUCAACAUGGGUUAGCCCUAAAAGACAUUCAGAGCUGACAGAUUACUACAACUCUGCUAUGUUUGGGGAGUGUUCGGCUGGGAAGUGCAGAGAGUCCCUUGAGGAGUAAUUAGCCUGAGGAAGGCCAACAGGUUCUUGAACUGCACAGCGCUACACACCUUUCAUGGAGAGAAGGGAAAGAAAGCUUAUCUACCCUUCCACAUUGCCGCCAUUGUUUUUCCCCAGCUCCUGCUCUUUGCAGUGUUUCAUCUCCCAUCCUGCUCUAAC